GGGGGUAGAGCUCAGCGGUAGAGCGCAUGCUUAGCAUGCACGAGGUCCUGGGUUCCAUCUCCAGUAACAUCU
rnacentral:tRNA from 1 species